AGAGUUUGAUCAUGGCUCAGGAUGAACGCUGGCGGCAUGCCUAAAACAUGCAAGUCGAGCGGUAAGGCCCCUUCGGGGGUACACGAGCGGCGGACGGGUGAGUAACGCGUGGGAAUCUACCCAAACUGAGGGAUAAGCAUUGGAAACGAUGUCUAAUACCGCAUAUGGUCUUCGGAUUAAAGCUUCGGCGGUUUGGGAAGAGCCCGCGUAAGAUUAGCUAGUUGGUGAGGUAAAGGCUCACCAAGGCGACGAUCUUUAACUGGUUUGAGAGGAUGAUCAGUCACACUGGAACUGAGACACGGUCCAGACUCCUACGGGAGGCAGCAGUUAGGAAUUUUCCACAAUGGGCGAAAGCCUGAUGGAGCAAUGCCGCGUGCAGGAUGAAGGCCUUAGGGUUGUAAACUGCUUUUAUACGUGAAGAAUAUGACGGUAACGUAUGAAUAAGGAUCGGCUAACUCCGUG
rnacentral:rRNA from 1 species